rnacentral:rRNA from 1 species
AUUGAACGCUGGCGGCAUGCCUUACACAUGCAAGUCGAACGGCAGCACGGGUGCUUGCACCUGGUGGCGAGCGGCGAACGGGUGAGUAAUACAUCGGAACAUGUCCUGUAGUGGGGGAUAGCCCGGCGAAAGCCGGAUUAAUACCGCAUUCGAUCUACGGAUGAAAGCGGGGGACCCUCGGGCCUCGCGCUAUAGGGUUGGCCGAUGGCUGAUUAGCUAGUUGGUGGGGUAAAGGCCUACCAAGGCGACGAUCAGUAGCUGGUCUGAGAGGACGACCAGCCACACUGGGACUGAGACACGGCCCAGACUCCUACGGGAGGCAGCAGUGGGGAAUUUUGGACAAUGGGCGAAAGCCUGAUCCAGCAAUGCCGCGUGUGUGAAGAAGGCCUUCGGGUUGUAAAGCACUUUUGUCCGGAAAGAAAUCCUUGGCCCUAAUACGGUCGGGGGAUGACGGUACCGGAAGAAUAAGCACCGGCUAACUACGUG